CCGGGCUCCCCCACCGCGCGCCUCCCCGGGGGCGCAGCGCCCACCUCCUGCAAGACACCCACGGUGACUUUUUCUUUGUCCCCUCCACCCCGCGACCGUGGCCCACGCCGCGUGACCCCCAGCUGGCCGCGCCCUGUCACUCCCAGGCGCGCUGCAAAACUUGCUGCUGGAGGGGAAACCCGGAAACUUUGGGACCAUUCGCGACCACGCUUGUGGCUCCGGCCUGUAAUCCAGUCCCAGCCAUCAGAAGAAAGCUGAGCCCGGACAGAAAAUUCCGGGAGACCCUGUGACCAAUUAACCAGCGAAAAGCCUGAAGUGGAGCUGUGGCUCCAAUGAUAGCCUUGAGCCCGAGGGUACAGCCCAGAACAGACGAAAAUAAAUAGUAACUACCAUUUCCUCCAUGUCCAGAGACAGCGAGGGCUAAGUGAGGAAGGACAGACUCAACUUCCAGAACUUCGAGCUAACAGAAGCAGCCCUGGGGACAUUGAUACUAGCCACUCCUUCCUAAGUUUCCCCAGAGCUACUGCUUGCUUCCCCUCCCCCCAGGCUGUCCUUUUCCUAAAAAAAAAAAAAAAAAAAAAAAAGCCCAGGGGACUGUGCCCAAAUCUAGACAAGCACAAGCUCCUGUUCUCACUAGUUAUGAAAUGAAAAUCAGUUCCAGGCUUUCCAAUGUCUGGCUUUCUCUUUCAAGGCUUAGGCAAACUC